rnacentral:piRNA from 1 species
UGUGGGCACGUUUGUUCCUGCACCGAGUGC